rnacentral:misc_RNA from 1 species
GGAAGUAAAUCGUAACAAGGUUUCCGUAGGUGAACCUGCGGAAGGAUCAUUAUUGUAUACCCGAGGUGCGAGGGCUGUCGCUGACCCGAAAGGUCGUGCACGCCCGAGUGCCCUCACACACAUCCAUCUCACCCCUAUGUGCACCACCGCGUGGGUCCCCCUUUGGCUUGUUCGGAGGGGGGCUUACGUUUUCACACAAACUUUGUAUGCAGUGUAGAAUGUAUUUUUUGUUUUUGCGAUCACGCAAUCAAUACAACUUUCAACAACGGAUCUCUUGGCUCUC